AAUGAACGUUGGCGGCGUGGAUUAGGCAUGCAAGUCGAGCGAGAACCCAGCAAUGGGGGACAGCGGCGUAAGGGACAGUAAUGUGUAGAUUAUCUGCCCUCGAGACCGGGAUAGUGUAGGGAAACUGGCAGUAAUCCCGGAUAACAUCUUCGGAUCAAAUGGUGUGAUUCCGCUCGCGGAUCGGACCGCGUACUAUUAGCUAGUUGGCGGGGUAAUAGCCCACCAAGGCGUAGAUGGUUGCCGGGUGUGAGAGCAUGGCCCGGCUCACUGGGACGGAGAAACUGCCCAGACAACUACGGAUGGCUGCAGUCGAGAAUCUUCGGCAAUGGGCGAAAGUCUGACCGAGCGACGCCGCGUGCGGGAUGAAGGCCCUCGGGUUGUAAACCGCUGUCAGUUAGGAGGAAAUCCAUGAGGGUACUCUCUCAUGGUUGACCGAUUUUCAGAGGAAGGACGGGCUAAGUUCGUGCCAGCCGCCGCUGUAACAC
rnacentral:rRNA from 1 species